GAUGCUACAAGACUUGUUGACCUUUUACAGCAAUUUGUUUUUCUCUUGAUUUACAGCAUCUGCAGUUCUUAGCUUUUAGCCAACAAAUCCAGUCUCUGGGUAAGAUGGUGGGCCGCUGGACAGAGCAUUGACCGCCGUGCUGGUCUAUCUACCUCCGAGCCAAGAGACCCAGGUUCAUUCCCACCUGCUUCUCAUGUCCCUGAGCAGGUUGAUUAGAAAGAGCCAUUCGACUUGCCUCAUCUUUUGCAGUUUUGCACUCUAUCCAGAGACAGCGCCAGGUUAAAUCCCUGAGCCCCUUUUGGAAUUCAAACUUCUGAAGAUUGGAAUUGGAUGCCAAAUCAUAUAAAUGCAAGAAAACAUUUUUUUUUAAAAAAAAAGAGAUCCAUGUUAUAAUUGCAGCUAGGGCUUUUAUGGCAUUGUGGGAUAGUGUCCCCACCUCCUGUAGUUUCUUACAGUCCUGGGCACAGUAGCUGCUGUACCAUGGACCCAGAGAGAAUGCGUUCAAUGAACCUUUUCAUUGAGCACUGAAGUUCUGAUGAAAAUAAAACACUAACUCAGUUUCUCUCCA